rnacentral:rRNA from 1 species
AGUGAACGCUGGCGGUAGGCCUAACACAUGCAAGUCGAACGGCAGCACAGUAAGAGCUUGCUCUUACGGGUGGCGAGUGGCGGACGGGUGAGGAAUACAUCGGAAUCUACUUUUUCGUGGGGGAUAACAUAGGGAAACUUACGCUAAUACCGCAUACGACCUACGGGUGAAAGCAGGGGAUCUUCGGACCUUGCGCGAUUGAAUGAGCCGAUGUCGGAUUAGCUAGUUGGCGGGGUAAAGGCCCACCAAGGCGACGAUCCGUAGCUGGUCUGAGAGGAUGAUCAGCCACACUGGAACUGAGGCACGGUCCAGACUCCUACGGGAGGCAGCAGUGGGGAAUAUUGGACAAUGGGCGCAAGCCUGAUCCAGCCAUACCGCGUGGGUGAAGAAGGCCUUCGGGUUGUAAAGCCCUUUUGUUGGGAAAGAAAAGCAGCAGGUUAAUACCCCGCUGUUCUGACGGUACCCAAAGAAUAAGCACCGGCUAACUUCGUG